AAAGAUAUAUAUUCUUGAGCCCUUAAACUCAUAAAAAUACAGGUCCUUAAAAACUACCAGUGUUUUUAGGUUCUGAACCCUUCAUGCUUUUUAAGUUCCUAAGAAUCAAUCACUUUAUCAUGGGUAGCACCUUCUAUAGCAGGGAUCAGCUGACUUUCUACAGAGGACCAAAUAGUAAGUAAAGGCUUUGCCAAGCCACAU
rnacentral:lncRNA from 1 species